CGUGUAGGCGGUUGGGUAAGUCAGAUGUGAAAGCCUUCUGCUUAACAGAAGAAGUGCAUUUGAAACUGCUCGGCUAGAGUACGGGAGAGGAGAGUGGAAUUCCCGGUGUAGAGGUGAAAUUCGUAGAUAUCGGGAGGAACACCAGUGGCGAAGGCGGCUCUCUGGUCCGAUACUGACGCUGAGACGCGAAAGCGUGGGGAGCAAACAGGAUUAGAUACCCUGGUAGUCCACGCCGUAAACGAUGGGCACUAGGUGUAGGAGGUAUUGACCCCUUCUGCGCCGAAGCUAACGCAUUAAGUGCCCCGCCUGGGGAGUACGGCCGCAAGGCUAAA
rnacentral:rRNA from 1 species